rnacentral:misc_RNA from 1 species
UCCGGUUUAUCACCGGCAGUUCCCCAUGAGUCCCCGGCAUUACCCGCUGGCAACAUAGGGCAAGGGUUGCGCUCGUUGCGGGACUUAACCCAACAUCUCACGACACGAGCUGACGACAGCCAUGCACCACCUGUGAUGGUGUCCCGAAGGAAAGGUGUGUUUCCACACCGGUCACCAACAUGUCAAGCCCAGGUAAGGUUCUUCGCGUUGCGUUGAAUUAAACCACAUGCUCCGCUGCUUGUGCGGGUCCCCGUCAAUUCCUUUGAGUUUUAGCCUUGCGGCCGUACUCCCCAGGCGGGGCACUUACUGCGUUAGCGCCGGCACGGCAGGGGUCAAUACCCGCCACACCUAGUGCCCAACGUUUACUGCGUGGACUAC